rnacentral:rRNA from 1 species
GGUUGACCUCGGAUCAGGUAGGGAUACCCGCUGAACUUAAGCAUAUCAAUAAGCGGAGGAAAAGAAACCAACCGGGAUUGCCUCAGUAACGGCGAGUGAAGCGGCAAGAGCUCAAAUUUGAAAUCUGACCCCUUCGGGGUCCGAGUUGUAAUUUGCAGAGGAUGCUUCGGAUGCGGCCCCUGUCUAAGUGCCCUGGAACGGGCCGUCGGAGAGGGUGAGAAUCCCGUCUGGGAUAGGGUGUCCGUGUCCGUGUGAAGCUCCUUCGACGAGUCGAGUUGUUUGGGAAUGCAGCUCUAAAUGGGUGGUAAAUUUCAUCUAAAGCUAAAUACUGGCCGGAGACCGAUAGCGCACAAGUAGAGUGAUCGAAAGAUGAAAAGCACUUUGAAAAGAGAGUUAAACAGCACGUGAAAUUGUUGAAAGGGAAGCGCAUGCGACCAGACUCGCUCGCGGGGUUCAGCCGGCAUUCGUGCCGGUGUACUUCCCCGCGGGCGGGCCAGCGUCGGUUUGGGCGGCCGGUCAAAGGCCUCCGGAAUGUAUCACCUCUCGGGGUGUCUUAUAGCCGGGGGUGCAAUGCGGCCAGCCUGGACCGAGGAACGCGCUUCGGCACGGACGCUGGCAUAAUGGUCGUAAGCGACC